rnacentral:rRNA from 1 species
UACGUAGGGUCCGAGCGUUGUCCGGAAUUACUGGGCGUAAAGCGUGCGCAGGCGGCUUUCCAAGCGCCACGUGAAAGCCCGGGGCUCAACCCCGGAAGUGCAUUUGAAACUACCAGACUAGAGUGCAGUAGAGAAUGGCGGAAUUCCCAGUGGAGAGGUGAAAUUCGUAGAUAUUGGGAGGAACACCGGUGGCGAAGGCGGCCAUUUGGGCUGUAACUGACGCUGAGGCGCGAAAGCGUGGGUAGCAAACAGG